rnacentral:lncRNA from 1 species
AUUCCAAUCCUGGGAGAAGAUUUGAGGCUUGUGAGAAUAAUUGGGUAAGUCACUUUGUCUGGAAUUUUGUGUUUUUUGGUCCAUGGGUUUUAGAUCUAACCCUGGAUAUGGAAAAUUCUUCAGAAGAAUAGAGGCAAAGGUCAUUAUUGGGAGUGGGUGGACGAGGAGAUAUGCCCACAAGGAAAGGAAGUUCUUCCUGGGUUGCUAAGAAGAAUGAGAGGUAUGGAGCAGGAACUGAAUCAAAUAGAAGAAGAUAA